rnacentral:rRNA from 1 species
AGAACGAACGCUGGCGGCAGGCUUAACACAUGCAAGUCGAACGCCCCGCAAGGGGAGUGGCAGACGGGUGAGUAACACGUGGGAACAUACCCUUUGGUUCGGAAUAACUCAGGGAAACUUGAGCUAAUACCGGAUAAGCGCGAGAGCGGAAAGAUUUAUCGCCGAAGGAUUGGCCCGCGUCCGAUUAGCUAGUUGGUGAGGUAAUGGCUCACCAAGGCGACGAUCGGUAGCUGGUCUGAGAGGAUGAUCAGCCACACUGGGACUGAGACACGGCCCAGACUCCUACGGGAGCAGCAGUGGGGAAUAUUGGACAAUGGGCGCAAGCCUGAUCCAGCCAUGCCGCGUGGGUGAUGAAGGCCCGUAGGGUUGUAAAGCUCUUUCGCCAGGGACGAUAAUGACGGUACUGGAAUAAGAAGCCCCGGAUAACUUCGUGCCAGCAGCCGC